rnacentral:rRNA from 1 species
UACGUAGGUGGCAAGCGUUGUCCGGAUUUAUUGGGUUUAAAGGGCGCGUAGGCGGCUGUUUAAGUCAGUGGUGAAAGCCGAUCGCUUAACGAUCGAACUGCCAUUGAUACUGAAUAGCUUGAGUACAGAUGAGGUAGGCGGAAUUGACAGUGUAGCGGUGAAAUGCAUAGAUAUUGUCAAGAACACCGAUUGCGAAGGCAGCUUACUAAAGUGUCACUGACGCUGAGGCACGAAAGUGCGGGGAUCAAACAGG